rnacentral:lncRNA from 1 species
AAAAGGUUCUUAAGAAGAAAUUAAGCAGUUUUUUGGGGUUUGUUCAAGGUUACAAGGACAAUACGAUUCAUUAUUUUAGGAGCCAAGCUGUGAACAGUUUUGUGGAUUAAAAACAAAAAAAUUUACACCAAAAGCACACUUACAAUUCUUUAAUUUUCCCAAAAAUUGACAUUGUGCCUCAUAAACCGUUUUUUUUUUGCCAGUCAGGUUGUAAGGAGCAGUAAAGCCACUUGAUGAAGUAAGUUAACAGCUUUAUACAGGACUGAAGUAGCAUUAGCAUUAGCCUCUAACCACGCUAAGCGCUAACUCUUUCGCCAUUCAGAGGUUCAUAUUAUCGGACUGUAGCCUGCUGUUAACCCUGGCUAGCACUGCAGAAGCAGUAUUAGCAUUAUCCUCUAACAGUGCUAGCUCUUUUGCCAUUUAGAGAAAAGAAGGAAGCUGCAGAUGUUGAGGAUGUCUCGGCUGGUCGACUCUCUCUGGGGGUCCAUACGCUUCCAGAACAUGACGCUCUCAGACUCGCAGUCUCCACAACACGUUUCCUCAGCUAUACUCAUCUGGCACGGACGACCCGCAGAUCCUUUCCUCCAGAAACCCGGCGUCCAGUUCCCACGGCCUGCGCAGCUACAUAGAGGUCAGCGUCAGUACGUGGGCAGGACUAAUCAUUUUGCCCAGUCUUGUGGUCAGCCCGGUUGGGUGGUCUAUGGCCCUUAGCGAGUAAGGGCCGUAGAAACAGGGUCCUGCUGGGAAUGGAAUUCCAUUUCUAUGGUGAAGACAGAUGUAGUGGUCUGUCAGAAGUUUGGGAAAUUUUGGGCCUUAUUUACAAACUUUUCUUAGAAAGAAAUUAAGCCAUUUUUACAUCGAUUCUGAAUUCACUAUUUAUUUCUUUUUUUAUUUAUUUGGGGUGUGUUCAAUGUUACGAGAACAUUGGGAUCCGUCAUUUUAGAAGACAAGCUGUGAACUAGUGAAUGGACUUUUUGCUCUUACAUAUCUGUGAUUGGUUUGGUGAAUACUUGAAGAAAGUUUGGUUGAGAGGGAGUAAUGUUUUUCAGGUACUGGGCUAGACCAGACCCCUUAGUUCACUAGGUAAGGGUGAAAUUUUGGUUGACCAUAUUGUUUAUUGGGUAAGUGAGAUAAAAACAAUAUUGUUAGCAAAGUAUUGUUAUAAUAUUGUUAUUAGGGCUAUGUAUUGUAAUAAUAUUAUCAGGGCUAUGUAUUGUUAUAAUAUAGACAAUGACAUCUCUAUCAAUCUGGAUGGAGAGAUUUAUCUGGACAGGGUUUUUUUUUAAUGAUGAAAAGCUGAAAUGAAAUUAAGUUUAAAUUAAAUAGGAGUAAGAGGCUAUUUUUAAAAUCAAAGGAA